rnacentral:rRNA from 1 species
GACGUAGGGUGCGAGCGUUGUCCGGAUUUAUUGGGCGUAAAGAGCUCGUAGGCGGCUCGUCGCGUCGACCGUGAAAACCCGCGGCUUAACUGUGGGCGUGCGGGCGAUACGGGCAGACUGGAGUACUGCAGGGGAGACUGGAAUUCCUGGUGUAGCGGUGGAAUGCGCAGAUAUCAGGAGGAACACCGGUGGCGAAGGCGGGUCUCUGGGCAGUAACUGACGCUGAGGAGCGAAAGCGUGGGGAGCGAACAGG